GGUGGGGGCAUCUGCAUGGAGCCCUCCCUGGAGAGGGGGAGGAGGAGAAUGAUGUUACAUCCUAAGUGGAGUCACUUUACACCCACCCUUUCAAAAUGAAUCAGACUGGAGGAUCAGGAGAUGGUAGUCUGUUCAUCUAAUGUCCAUACCUGAGCAUAAGAACUGCCCCAAGUAGCCAAUCAUCCAAUUUUUUAUUUUCUUCCCUAAGUCCUUCCUUUCCCCUUUGCAUACACU